GAGCUUGCUUCUGGUAUCUCUUCUCAUAAAGAAGACAUGAGCUUUAGUCACCUGCAAGACUCAUUCACCAUUGGCCUUUGGUCGAGCAACAAGAGGCUGAGGCAUAAGUCCCCAGGCAAAAGCCUACUAAUCCAUGUGCAUGGCUGAAAGGUAUGCUUUAAUGGGAAAAAGGUAUGUUGGCAUUUCCUACAGGAAUCUGUCGUGUUUUGGGAGUGUUCCAACACCACCUCCUAUUGGCCAUUCCACACCUGAAAGAGGGAGAAGACAACAUACAUAGAAAAGGAGGCAAUAAUGGAGAAUCUGACUUGUCUUGAAACAUGAAGAAAGAAUGGAGAUAAAAUAGAAAACCAGUGCUUCUAGACUUAGCCCUACAUCAAGGCCAGCCAAUGAGACGAUAAGGGAUAUGCUUCAUCAUAGAAGUGGAAGGAUUGCACAUCAUCAGUGGGAUGGACAGGUCAGAUGAUGGAAUGGCAUUCAGGUGAAGGGUGGAGUCUGACUACUGCACCAUUCCUCCAUGUCAACGCAUUCAUGCAUUCAUGUGGCGACUUUCUGCAUGCAAACUGCAUGCGUUUCCCGAAAAGUUACGUGAACUUUUUUAAGGCAUCCCCGAGGCAUCAUAAUGUCACUAAAAGCUUUGCAUUUGUGCUGCCACUCUUUAUGCCAGAUUGUAUGUGUAUAGGUGUCUCUUCACGGAGAUAUCACGAACAAAGAGAUCAUCACAUAUUAUUAAUUAUCAGGUAAAUUAUUGUUGUCUCAUUUUUCUAUUAUCGUCAGUUCUGCUCAUGAGAUUUCUUGUUCCUUACUGCUCAUGUUUUCCUUUCCUUUCGAAGAUGAAAAAUCCAAUGACCAAACUUUUUUUUUAUUUUUUUAUUUUUACUUUUAAAUGUAAGCGGUGAAGGUCGGAUUUGAUAUUAAAAUCCUUAUUAGCUAUAUCAAUUUAUAUUUUCAAGAGUUUGUUUAUCGGAUGAAAAUUUGAGCCCUCGAUCUUCAACGAUUAUCGUCAAAUUAAUAUUUUAGAUGAAAAAUUUAUCGGAUAAGAAUUUAUUUAAACUCUCAACCCCAUAUUUCUGACUAAUGUUUUAUCGGAUAAUUUUUUAUUUAAUUUUAUUAUAAAUAAAUGAAUCUAAAACAUCACUGUAUAUGUAUAUUUUUUUUAUUGUUAUUGUAAGAUUGGCUGCUUGUCUACCUGUCCUUCCAUUGAAAGGUCUUCUCAGCUAACACCUGCACAAUUAUUGACACACACAGAGACACUGAAUGGUCCAACAGAGAGAAACUUUGGCACAGAAAGUGGAGCUUCCAUAUCACACAAUCAACAAUUAAAUUGUGUAAAGCCAAGACAUUAACUAGUGGAAUCUAACAUCAUCUUCAGGAUAACAUAUGCAUAUAUGAUCAAGCAAUGUCCUGAAUAAAAGAGAAAC